GACGAACGCUGGCGGCGUGCUUAACACAUGCAAGUCGAGCGGUAAGGCCCUCGGGUACGACGAGCGGCGAACGGUGAGUAACACGUGGGUGACCUGCCUCUAGCUCUGGGAUAAGCCUGGGAAACUGGGUCGUAAUACCGGAUAUGACUCCACGGCGCAUGUUGUGGGUGGAAAGCCUUGUGUGGCUAGAGAUGGGCCCGCGGCCUAUCAGCUUGUUGGUGGGGUGAUGGCCUACCAAGGCGACGACGGGUAGCCGGCCUGAGAGGGCGACCGGCCACACUGGGACUGAGACACGGCCCAGACUCCUACGGGAGGG
rnacentral:rRNA from 1 species